UACGAAGGGGGCGAGCGUUAUUCGGAAUCACUGGGCGUAAAGCGUGCGUAGGCUGUUCGGCAAGUUGGAAGUGAAAGCCCAGGGCUCAACCCUGGAAUUGCUUUCAAAACUGCCGAACUAGAGUCCGGGAGAGGAUAGCGGAAUUUCCGAGUGUAGUAGUGAAAUACGUAGAUAUUGGAAGGAACACCAGUGGCGCAAGCGGCUAUCUGGACCGGUACUGACGCUGAGGCACGAAAGCGUGGGGAUCAAACAGG
rnacentral:rRNA from 1 species